AUUGGGAAACACUUCUUGAUUAGUUUGAAAAGGCCACUUACAUAUUAAAUCAUAAGAUCAUUUCUAAUCAGUUUGCAAUUCUAGCAAUAAUCCCAAUCAUGACCUUGCGUCCUAUGCCUCCUAAUCAAAUCCCUAUUUCGAUAGUCCAGUCAUAUCCACACUUAAUACAUUGGAAUCCAUCCUUGGUACACUCAACAUACAUCAAUGACACACAUAGUACAUCCAUGCCUGAGUAAGCUAACACUUCCUCUCUCUCCGGCUAACUCUACAAAAAUAAAAAUAAAAAUAACAAAAUAGUUCAAUAGUCCAGCAUAGUCCAGAAAAAUAUUAUAAGUCUUUCAAGGAGUAUAAAGAAUCUUAGACACCAUAAACUUUGUUCCAUAAUCUUAGACACCAUAACAUAGCUAAGGGUAGCAAUAUGGCUGACAACAAGACAAUGUCAGCUUCCACAUAGUUCUUAAUUCUUCUGUUUGCUGGAUGUUCACCACAAUACUCUGUGCAACACCCCAAUUGUUGAAAGGGUAAUACAGAAAUAGCGGCAUUGGACAGCACUGCAUCUUCA